CCUACGGGAGGCAGCAGUGGGGAAUAUUGCACAAUGGGCGCAAGCCUGAUGCAGCAACGCCGCGUGAGGGACGACGGCCUUCGGGUUGUAAACCUCUUUUAGUAGGGAAGAAGCGAAAGUGACGGUACCUGCAGAAAAAGCACCGGCUAACUACGUGCCAGCAGCCGCGGUAAUACGUAGGGUGCAAGCGUUAUCCGGAAUUAUUGGGCGUAAAGAGCUCGUAGGCGGUUUGUCACGUCUGCUGUGAAAACUGGAGGCUCAACCUCCAGCCUGCAGUGGGUACGGGCAGACUAGAGUGCGGUAGGGGAGAUUGGAAUUCCUGGUGUAGCGGUGGAAUGCGCAGAUAUCAGGAGGAACACCGAUGGCGAAGGCAGAUCUCUGGGCCGUAACUGACGCUGAGGAGCGAAAGCAUGGGGAGCGAACAGGAUUAGAUACCCUGGUAGUCCAUGCCGUAAACGUUGGGAACUAGAUGUAGGGACCAUUCCACGGUUUCUGUGUCGCAGCUAACGCAUUAAGUUCCCCGCCUGGGGAUACGGCCGCAAGGCUAAAACUUAAUGAAUUGACGG
rnacentral:rRNA from 1 species